GACGAACGCUGGCGGCGUGCCUAAUACAUGCAAGUCGAGCGGAGUCUGAAAGGAAGCUUGCUUCCUUUCAGACUUAGCGGCGGACGGGUGAGUAACACGUAGGCAACCUGCCCUCAAGCCUGGGAUAACUACCGGAAACGGUAGCUAAUACCGGAUAAUUUCUUUUUCUCCUGAGGAGAGAAUGAAAGGCGGAGCAAUCUGCUGCUUGGGGAUGGGCCUGCGGCGCAUUAGCUAGUUGGUGGGGUAACGGCCCACCAAGGCGACGAUGCGUAGCCGACCUGAGAGGGUGAACGGCCACACUGGGACUGAGACACGGCCCAG
rnacentral:rRNA from 1 species